ACCAACUUAUCUGUAGAACGAAAUGUAUGUAGUUUUCUAUUAUCUACAUAAAUUUCAUUCUACAGAUAAGUUGGUG
rnacentral:pre_miRNA from 12 species